UACGUAGGCAGCAAGCGUUGUUCGGAGUUACUGGGCGUAAAGGGUGCGUAGGCGGCUUUUUAAGUUGGUGUGAAAUCUCCCGGCUCAACUGGGAGGGUGCGCCGAAUACUGAGAGGCUAGAGUGUGGGAGAGGAAAGUGGAAUUCCUGGUGUAGCGGUGAAAUGCGUAGAUAUCAGGAGGAACACCGGUGUGUAAACGCUUCUGGACCAUAACUGACGCUGAUGCACGAAAGCGUGGUAGCAAACAGG
rnacentral:rRNA from 1 species